GCUGUGUGAGCCGCUGGUUGUUAAUGAGCUCACGCGGGAGUAGAGGGCGCAUGGCAUCAAAGGAGGGCGCGUUUUCACUGAUUUGCGUGUUUCCACAGAACCAGCUUUAGAUCAGGUUCAGCAAUUCCUACACCUGCCCCCAGGCAGGGCAAUUAGGAUCGAUCUGCCACAGAUGGAACUUACACCCCUUGGCCAGGGAGCUCAUAGCAGUACAUAGAAGAACUUGCUGCUUCAGGAAGUCAUAAUCAUCAAUCUCUCAAGAUGGAGGUUUCGCAUAACAUGUAGAGCUUCCUGGUCAAAAAAGGGGCUAUGAUGGCGGCCUAGUCUCACCUGUCCCUGUGCAUCAAUGUGGCUGUUUGUUUAAAGCAGAAGAGGAAACAAUCAUGGUAGUCCAAAGGAGCCUUCUUCACGAGAACAUCCCUGGGACAGGUUCCAGGUUGAGCUGGAGCCUUUGCAGGAACAUCCUAUGGGCCAGGUGGAAGGGGAAUGUGCUGAGGCUGAACAUGCCCACUUCUGGUACUACUUGUCAAGCUUGGGUCACAGAGUUGCACCAGAGAAUGGAAGGCAAGUCCAGUAAAAUUACUUAAUUGUUGAAAAGGCAGAAGAAAUCCCAAGACUAUUCAAAAUAUUUCUUCAGCACACUGGACAAGUGGUGCAGCAAUUGUCCUGCUUUCUUCAAGUUGAAAGAACACAAAACUUUCCUCAUCAAGUAGGUUCAGCGGCUGGGAAGCAUCGGCUGGGUUAGACACAGUCUGAAGAAGAGGGGACAGGCAAAAGAGCAAAAGCAUACAUGAAAGCUCAUCUUUAAAUGUUCUAAGCAUCGUGUAACAAGCACAUUAUGCGGUGUGGGUGCCACUGAUCCCACACAGAGCUUCUUAGAAGUAUGUUUGUUUCUCAUUGAAAUACUGUUUAACAGUUUCUAUGUGCAGCUGCUUGUGACGAAUGGCAGGAAUGCAUAUCAGCCAUCAUCUCGGUCACAAUAUUAAAGAAAGAAAUCUUGUCCUCAAACUAGGACCUCUUUGAGUCAAGAACCAGACAUGAGGAAGCUUGUCCAUUGCAUCUUUUAUUUCUGCAUCCCUUUACAGCAGUCAACUAAGGGAAAGUGCCCUGGGCAGAGUUUGUCAGCAGAUGGGCAAAGAAUAAAGGCAUACAGUCAUUGUUAUAGAUAACUGAAUUGGCAUAAUAGUGCUGAAAUAAUGAUAUUUACUCUGAUUGAUUCAUUGACUUGCAGACCCAAAUAACAUCCAAAUAAAAGUCUUAUUCCACUA